GACGAACGCUGGCGGCGUGCCUAACACAUGCAAGUCGAGCGGAGAUACAUUGAAGAGCAAUCAGAUAUGUAUCUUAGCGGCGGACGGGUGAGUAACGCGUGGGCAACCUGCCUCAUACUGGGGGAUAACACAGGGAAACUUGUGCUAAUACCGCAUAAUAUCAUUAUAGGGCAUCCUGUGAUGAUCAAAGGAGCAAUCCGGUGUGAGAUGGGCCCGCGUCCAAUUAGCUAGUUGGUGGGGUAACGGCCCACCAAGGCGACGAUUGGUAGCCGAACUGAGAGGUUGAUCGGCCACAUUGGGACUGAGACACGGCCCAGACUCCUACGGGAGGCAGCAGUGGGGAAUAUUGCGCAAUGGGGGAAACCCUGACGCAGCAACGCCGCGUGAAGGAUGAAGGUCUUCGGAUUGUAAACUUCUUUGAUGAGGGACGAACACAAUGACAGUACCUCAAAAACAAGCCACGGCUAACUACGUGCCAGC
rnacentral:rRNA from 1 species